GACGAACGCUGGCAGCGUGCUUAACACAUGCAAGUCGAGCGGAGCGGCGAACGGGUGAGUAACGCGUGAGUAACUGCCCCCCUCUCUGGGAUAACAGUUGGAAACAGCUGCUAAUACCGGAUAGUGGGGGAUGACUCGCGGCCUAUCAGCUUGUUGGGGGGGUAGUGGCCGACCAAGGCGACGACGGGUAGCCGGCCUGAGAGGGCGACCGGCCACAGUGGGCUGGGAUAGGGCCUAAAGUCCUACGGUAGGCAUGAGUGGGGAAUAGUGCACAAUGGUGGAAACCCUGAUGCAGCAACGCCGCGUGCGGGAUGACGGCCUUCGGGUUGUAAACCGCUUUCAGCCAUGACGCGGUAGUGGCAGAAGAAGCACCGGCUAACUACGUGCCAGCAGCCGCGGUAAUUC
rnacentral:rRNA from 1 species